rnacentral:rRNA from 1 species
UUAUCCGGAUUUACUGGGUGUAAAGGGAGCGUAGACGGAAUGGCAAGUCUGAUGUGAAAGGCCGGGGCUCAACCCCGGGACUGCAUUGGAAACUGUCAAUCUAGAGUACCGGAGGGGUAAGUGGAAUUCCUAGUGUAGCGGUGAAAUGCGUAGAUAUUAGGAGGAACACCAGUGGCGAAGGCGGCUUACUGGACGGUAACUGACGUUGAGGCUCGAAAGCGUGGGGAGCAAACAGGAUUAGAUACCCUGCUAGUCCACGCCGUAAACGAUGAAUACUAGGUGUUGGGGAGUAAAGCUCUUCGGUGCCGCAGCAAACGCAAUAAGUAUUCCACCUGGGGAGUACGU